rnacentral:lncRNA from 1 species
AAUAUUUUUUAAUUUUAUUUCAACAAAAUAACAGCACCAUCAUUUUAAAAUGAAAAUGGUGAAUGUUGAUCUUUUUACAAUGAUAUGAUUCAGUGAUUGAUUAAAUAUUAAAAUAUUAUCAGUAAAUACAAAUAAAACAAACCCUACAAUUUCUUCUGUACAUUUUCCCUUUUGAAAACCAUAAUAAUUAAUAAAUGAAUAAUUCCCAAAGUUUUAUGGAAAUUGGUUGAAGAGUUUUUGAGUUAAUAUCCGACAGGUGUUGAUGUUGGACAGUCAGAUGGACAAAAGUAUAGCAUAAUAUUUCCCAUAAACGGGGGUAUAAAAAUAAUAUUAAAUAGUCUUGUUUGUAUUGUUUUAUGGGCCUUAAUAUACUUUACAUUGUUCAAAACAGAGCAAAUCCAUUGAAAUGUAAAAGGAACCCAUAGAAGGCACUUUUAAAAAUCGGGAAGACAUUUUUUCACACGAUUAAUUUACAAGGUUUACAAGACACAAUUUUUCAAGAAUGAUGGACAGACAUUUACAUAAAAAAAAUAAUUGGAUUUUUUUUACUUUCCUAUUUCAGAUAAAAUCAAAAGAAUAUCCUAUUUUUGGGAAAAUCAAAAGAAAGAACAAGAUAAAUAGAGAAAAAAAACAUUAGAAUAUGUUAGGCCUUAGAAAUUGUGAACUGUAAACUUUUAGAAAAUAAACCCCCAGUAGGCUGUACAUAGUUAGAAUUUCAAACUUCUCUACAAUAGAGUUCUGAUGAAGAAAAAUCUGUAUUUACUGACAAUCUAAAUGAAAGACAUCGGAUUUUAACAAUAUCAACAUUUCUAUACAUAAUAAUGCAACAAAAGAUUUAAACUUGGCAAAAUAUUGUCUGCAGUUACAACAAUUCUUAUUAUUCACUGGUAUAGAAACAAUUCUAUGACGUGUUCACAUAUAACUUGUAUUAAAAUAUAUUUUUGGUAAAUAUGCUUGCUGAUGUC